UAACGAUGAAGAGUUUGAUCCUGGCUCAGGAUGAACGCUAGCGGCAGGCCUAACACAUGCAAGUCGAGGGGUAACAUUGGAGC
rnacentral:rRNA from 1 species